GGGGAAUUUUCCGCAAUGGGCGAAAGCCUGACGGAGCAAUACCGCGUGAGGGAGGAAGGCUCUUGGGUUGUAAACCUCUUUUCUCAGGGAAUAAGAACUGAAGGUACCUGAGGAAUCAGCAUCGGCUAACCCCGUGCCAGCAGCCGCGGUAAUACGGAGGAUGCAAGCGUUAUCCGGAAUGAUUGGGCGUAAAGCGUCCGCAGGUGGUUUAUCAAGUCUGCUGUCAAAGAGUUUGGCUCAACCAAAUAAAGGCAGUGGAAACUGACAGACUGGAGUGCGGUAAGGGCAGAGGGAAUUCCUGGUGUAGCGGUGAAAUGCGUAGAGAUCAGGAAGAACACCGGUGGCGAAAGCGCUCUGCUGGGCCGUAACUGACACUGAGGGACGAAAGCUAGGGGAGCGAAUGGGAUUANAUACCCCAGUAGUC
rnacentral:rRNA from 1 species